rnacentral:rRNA from 1 species
AUUGAACGCUGGCGGCAGGCCUAACACAUGCAAGUCGAGCGAGCGGCGGACGGUUGAGUAAGGUCGGGGAAACUGCCGGAUGGAGGGGCAUCACUACUGGAAACGGUAUCUAAUACCGCAUACCAUCAGAUUUCCCCAGAUGGGAUUAGCUAGUAGGUGGGGUAACGGCUCACCUAGGCGACGAUCCCUAGCUGGUCUGAGAGGAUCACCAGCCACACUGGGACUGCGACACGGUCCAGACUCCUACGGGAGGCAGCAGUGGGGAAUCUUGGACAAUGGGCGAAAGGCUGAUGGAGCAAUGCCGCGUGAGGGAAGAAGGCUUUCGGGUCGUAAAGCACUUUAGGCGGGGAGGCGUUACCCGACGAGGAAGCCCCGGCUAACUACGUGCCAGCAGCCGCGGUAAUAC